rnacentral:rRNA from 1 species
AGGAGCUUGCUCCUCUGACGUUAGCGGCGGACGGGUGAGUAACACGUGGAUAACCUACCUAUAAGACUGGGAUAACUUCGGGAAACCGGAGCUAAUACCGGAUAAUAUAUUGAACCGCAUGGUUCAAUAGUGAAAGACGGUUUUGCUGUCACUUAUAGAUGGAUCCGCGCCGCAUUAGCUAGUUGGUAAGGUAACGGCUUACCAAGGCAACGAUGCGUAGCCGACCUGAGAGGGUGAUCGGCCACACUGGAACUGAGACACGGUCCAGACUCCUACGGGAGGCAGCAGUAGGGAAUCUUCCGCAAUGGGCGAAAGCCUGACGGAGCAACGCCGCGUGAGUGAUGAAGGUCUUCGGAUCGUAAAACUCUGUUAUUAGGGAAGAACAAAUGUGUAAGUAACUAUGCACGUCUUGACGGUACCUAAUCAGAAAGCCACGGCUAACUACGUGCCAGCAGCCGCGGUAAUACGUAGGUGGCAAGCGUUAUCCGGAAUUAUUGGGCGUAAAGCGCGCGUAGGCGGUUUUUUAAGUCUGAUGUGAAAGCCCACGGCUCAACCGUGGAGGGUCAUUGGAAACUGGAAAACUUGAGUGCAGAAGAGGAAAGUGGAAUUCCAUGUGUAGCGGUGAAAUGCGCAGAGAUAUGGAGGAACACCAGUGGCGAAGGCGACUUUCUGGUCUGUAACUGACGCUGAUGUGCGAAAGCGUGGGGAUCAAACAGGAUUAGAUACCCUGGUAGUCCACGCCGUAAACGAUGAGUGCUAAGUGUUAGGGGGUUUCCGCCC